UGAACGCUGGCGGCGUGCCUAAUACAUGCACGUCGAGCGAACAGACGAGGAGCUUGCUCCUUUGACGUUAGCGGCGGACGGGUGAGUAACACGUGGAUAACCUACCUAUAAGACUGGGAUAACUUCGGGAAACCGGAGCUAAUACCGGAUAACAUGUUGAACCGCAUGGUUCAACAGUGAAAGACGGUCUUGCUGUCACUUAUAGAUGGAUCCGCGCCGCAUUAGCUAGUUGGUAAGGUAACGGCUUACCAAGGCAACGAUGCGUAGCCGACCUGAGAGGGUGAUCGGCCACACUGGAACUGAGACACGGUCCAGACUCCUACGGGAGGCAGCAGUAGGGAAUCUUCCGCAAUGGGCGAAAGCCUGACGGAGCAACGCCGCGUGAGUGAAGAAGGUCUUCGGAUCGUAAAACUCUGUUAUUAGGGAAGAACAAAUGUGUAAGUAACUAUGCACGUCUUGACGGUACCUAAUCAGAAAGCCACGGCUAACUACGUG
rnacentral:rRNA from 1 species